UAGGGAAUCUUCGGCAAUGGGGGGAACCCUGACCGAGCAACGCCGCGUGAGUGAAGAAGGUUUUCGGAUCGUAAAGCUCUGUUGUUAAGGAAGAACGAGUGUGAGAAUGGAAAGUUCAUGCUGUGACGGUACUUAACCAGAAAGGGACGGCUAACUACGUGCCAGCAGCCGCGGUAAUACGUAGGUCCCGAGCGUUGUCCGGAUUUAUUGGGCGUAAAGCGAGCGCAGGCGGUUAGAAAAGUCUGAAGUGAAAGGCAGUGGCUCAACCAUUGUAGGCUUUGGAAACUGUUUAACUUGAGUGCAGAAGGGGAGAGUGGAAUUCCAUGUGUAGCGGUGAAAUGCGUAGAUAUAUGGAGGAACACCGGUGGCGAAGGCGGCUCUCUGGUCUGUAACUGACGCGGAGGCUCGAAAGCGUGGGGAGCGAACAGG
rnacentral:rRNA from 1 species